AGCGAACACUGGCGGCAGGCUUAACACAUGCAAGUCGAGCGGGCGUAGCAAUACGUCAGCGGCAGACGGGUGAGUAACGCGUGGGAACGUACCUUUUGGUUCGGAACAACCCAGGGAAACUUGGGCUAAUACCGGAUAAGCCCUUACGGGGAAAGAUUUAUCGCCGAAAGAUCGGCCCGCGUCUGAUUAGCUAGUUGGUGAGGUAACGGCUCACCAAGGCGACGAUCAGUAGCUGGUCUGAGAGGAUGAUCAGCCACACUGGGACUGAGACACGGCCCAGACUCCUACGGGAGGCAGCAGUGGGGAAUCUUGCGCAAUGGGCGAAAGCCUGACGCAGCGACGCCGCGUGAGGGAUGACGGCCU
rnacentral:rRNA from 1 species